rnacentral:misc_RNA from 1 species
UUUCCGUAGGUGAACCUGCGGAAGGAUCAUUAUUGAGAUGCAACGGCGCCCUGUUUAGUUGUUGCAAUGUAGAGUCAGUGCUGGCUUCUGAAGUAUGUGCACGCUUUACUUGUAGCUCUAACUUGGUGAUAACCGUUUCUUAUCCAUCCACCUGUGCACUUUUUGUAGGAGUUUUUAUUAGGUUGGCUUUCAAGUCGAAAGACUUUGUUAGUUGGCAUAAUAGGACUUCUAUGUCUUUACAAACCAUUGAAGUAUGUCUAGAAUGUCAUUUUACUGGGACUUCAUUGACCCUUUAAACUUUAUACAACUUUCAGCAACGGAUCUCUUGGCUCUC